AGUUCAAUUGUAUUACUGAUCAGUUGCAAAAUAAGCAGCAAUGAUUCAUGAACCAAAUACCCAGUUUGUGCGAUUAGGGUUAAAACUCAGAGAGAAAACCUAAUAUAUCGUCUGUUUUCAUCACUUUAUUCUGGAUUGCAGUUCCAUUCUUUGAUUCCAUGCAGGAUAUCUUGUAUUUGUGAACAAAUCCACUGAUCAAGACAACAGAUGGCCGGUAACGGAAUGCAUCAAUACCAUCCACAGUGGCCACCGGCCCAAGCUCCUACUGGCGCCGUCGUUGUUCCGAAUCCAUCUCCACACUCGCACCAUUCUCCCAUGUCAAUGGACAAUCGCCUCGCCGUUGACGAGGUUAGGACGAUCUUCAUUUCCGGUUUGCCGGAGGACGUUAAAGAGAGAGAACUGCAGAAUCUGCUAAGAUGGUUACCCGGGUUCGAAGCUUCGCAGGUUAACUUCAAAGGAGAAGUCCCUAUGGGUUUUGCUCUUUUCUCCGCACCGCAUUUUGCUGUUGCUGCCAGAGACACCCUUCAGGAUAUGGUUUUUGAUGCUGAAUCGAAGUCAGUCUUGCACACAGAAAUGGCCAAGAAAAAUUUGUUUGUGAAACGGGGAAUAAUACCCGAUCCAAAUUCUUUUGAUCAAAGUAAACGUAUGCGGACAGGUGGCGACUAUACACACACUGGGUUCUCAAGCCCAUCCCCAUUCCAUCCUCCACCUCCACCUGUUUGGGGUCCACAUGGGUAUAUGGCCCCACCACCACCACCACCCUAUGACCCUUAUGGAGCCUAUCCUCUUUCUCAAGUACCCAUGGCUCCUCCUCCUGCUCCUGUACCUGCACCUAGCAGUUAUAUGCCAAUUCAGAACACGAAAGAUAAUCCUCCUUGCAACACCCUGUUUAUUGGAAAUCUUGGGGAGAACAUAAACGAAGAAGAACUAAGAGGACUUUUCAGUGUGCAACCUGGAUUUAAGCAGAUGAAGGUUUUGAGACAAGAAAGGCACACUGUUUGCUUUAUUGAGUUUGAGGAUGUGAAUAGUGCAACAAAUGUGCAUCAUAUGUUGCAGGGGGCUGUUAUCCCUAGUUCCACUUCUGUUGGCAUGCGAAUACAAUAUUCAAAGAAUCCGUUUGGGAAAAGGAAGGAUGGUGGUGGGUACCCAGUGUCAAAUGGAUCACUGGCGGUUGUUAGUUACCAGUAGAUGGAAGGGGAUGUACUCUGUCUAUUCUCUAUGCUUUGACUUUGAGAAAAAAGAACAUACUGUUACUGAUAGGAUGCAUAUUGGUGGUGGGCAUGCAUCCAUUUCAUCAUCAUCAUCAUCAUCAUCAUCAAGUCAUGAUUAUGCUCAUGCUCAUGAACAAUGCAUUAGCAUAUCACUUGCAUGUAAUUGGAGAGGGUUAGGGUUUGUGUGAGCAUAUAUGUCUUAGUGUAUUAUUAGUAGUAUGCAUUUUAAGCAUCUUGUUGACUUAUGAUUGUGGGUGUUGUUAUGUUUGAUUUUUCUUCUUUUUCAUCACACAUCUGUCAUUAUUAUGGAAUUAUUCUCUACAUUACAUUUGUCAUCUCAUGUUUUUUGUAAGUGUAUGUGCAAAGGAAAUGGAGGAAAUGAUUUCAUGUCAUGUCAUCAAGCAUCUCAUGGCAUGAGUUUAUAAUAAUAGUUAGCAUGACAUCAUCAUCAUCAUCAUCAUAUCAUCAUCUAGGCCAUAAUUUGACAAUCUAAAAAUUCAGGGAUCAAAGAAAGCACAUACACCAUGGGGGAUCUUUCAGGAUCAAGGGCUGAACUGCUCUUUUGUUUCAGCAAGUGUUGGCAAGAAAAGAAAAGAGAAGAUGAUUAUCAUUAUCAUCAUACUCCAUGAUGGAGAUACAAAAUCGAAAUUUGAAGCAAGUCUAGAAAUUUUGAUGGGUUGACUUCUUUUGACUUGUAUUUUUUUGGUUGGUCUAUGAGAAAAACAUCAACAAGUCUAAAUAGAAAUUUUAAACUUGCAGUAUCUUUGUAUGUAAUAGAAUAAGAAAAAUAGUAAAUUACAAAUUCAUUCUC